GUUGGAUCCAUUUCUUGUCCUUUUGGCUGGACUCUGAUCAACAAUCGCUGCUUUCAAUAUGUUGCCAAUGAGAUGACUUGGGCUGCAGCUGAGAGAAACUGUCUGGUCUUGGGGGCAAACCUUGCAUCAGUUCACAACAUUAACGAGUACAACCAGAUCCAGACUGAUAUUUACAGCAAGUCAUGAGCCCAAAGAAACAUGGAUUGGAGGCUCUAAUGCACUGCAGGUUGGUAUUUGGUUGUGGAGCGAUGGAAAUCUAUUUAGCUACACAAACUGGUGUUCAGGACAGCCCAGUAAUUAUGAAGGCAUGCAGCGU